GCCUCGCCCUCGCCGUCCCCUCCUCCCCCCGUCGCCUCCGGUGGCGGCGCCUCUCUUGGUCGCCGCCCCGCCGGUACUCAUCUCCUGCGUCAGAUCCGUCGCAUCCCACCUCGUCUGCAAGAUCCCACGUUCUCCUUCGCCGCCGAGCUCGACAACCGUCUCCCAAAACCGCGGCGGAAGCAUCCGAUGGCGGGCGCAGCAGAUCCACCGCACAAUACCGCCUCCUUCCGCCAUCGACGAGCCCCCCGCCAAGUCACCGGCGCGCGCGGGGGGGCUACUGAACGGCCACCGCGGCCUGCAUCUGUGGCGGUCAGCUGGAGAUCGAGCACAUUUGAUUUCAGUGCUCAUCCGGCCUUAGCAAGCAACCAUGAGUUAUUUCCUGUUCCUUUCCAUGUUCGUACUGCACAAGUGCAAAUUGUGAACUGAAGGAGACCAAUAAUGCAAAAGGUCUGGAGGAUGCGAACGAAUGGUUCGAUCUAAAAGAGUAUCAAAAAAAGAAUGCAAAUUGUGUCUGGGUAGAACAUUCAUGGAGAAUCUGUACAUUUGGUUUCUGAAGAAGCACCCUGCUAGUGCUAGUUGGUAUUCAGAGCGACGGAUUUACAAAUGGGACACCAGUUCUUCUGCCGGAGCCAGUUCUUUAUGCAGGAGAAGUGGUAGUAA